rnacentral:rRNA from 1 species
AGAGGGUGCGAGCGUUAAUCGGAAUUACUGGGCGUAAAGGGUGCGUAGGUGGCCUUAUAAGUCAGAUGUGAAAGCCCUGGGCUUAACCUGGGAACUGCAUUUGAAACUAUGAGGCUAGAGUUUGGUAGAGGGAAGUGGAAUUUCCGGUGUAGCGGUGAAAUGCGUAGAUAUCGGAAGGAACACCAGUGGCGAAGGCGACUUCCUGGGCCACAACUGACACUGAGGCACGAAAGCGUGGGGAGCGAACAGGGAUUAGAUACCCUGGUAGUCCACGCUGUAAACGAUGAGUACUAGAUGUUAGGGAGCUUAGACUCUUUAGUAUUGUAGCUAACGCGCUAAGUACUCCGCCUGGGGACUACGGCCGCAAGGUUA